rnacentral:sRNA from 1 species
GCUAGAGUAAUGUUUCCUUGUUAGAAGAUACAAAGCCAAAGAGU